rnacentral:rRNA from 1 species
ACUAAGCCAUGCGAGUCGAAUGUAGCAAUACAUGGCGAACUGCUCAGUAACACGUGGACAACCUGCCCUUAGGUUGGGUAUAAACCCGGGAAACUGGGUAUAAUACCCGAUAGGUCUCGAUUGCUGGAAUGCAUCGAGAUUUAAAGCUCCGGCGCCUAAGGAUGGGUCUGCGGCCUAUCAGGUAGUAGUGGGUGUAGCGUACCUACUAGCCUACGACGGGUACGGGUUGUGAGAGCAAGAGCCCGGAGAUGGAUUCUGAGACACGAAUCCAGGCCCUACGGGGUGCAGCAGGCGCGAAAACUUUACAAUGCUGGCAACAGCGAUAAGGGAACCUCGAGUGCCAGGUUACAAAUCUGGCUGUCGAGAUGCCUAAAAAGCAUUUCAUAGCAAGGGCCGGGCAAGACCGGUGCCAGCCGCCGCGGUAACACCGGCGGCUCGAGUGGUAACCGUUAUUAUUGGGUCUAAAGGGUCUGUAGCCGGCCGGAUAAGUCUCUUGAGAAAUCUGGCAGCUUAACUGUCAGGCUUUCAGGAGAUACUGUCUGGCUCGAGGCCGGGAGAGGUGAGAGGUACUUCAGGGGUAGGGGUGAAAUCUUGUAAUCCUUGAAGGACCACCAGUGGCGAAGGCGUCUCACCAGAACGGACCUGGCGGCAAGGGACGAAAGCUAGGGGCACGAACCGGAUUAGAUACCCGGGUAGUCCUAGCCGUAAACGAUACUCGCUAGGUGUCGGCCACGGUGCGACCGUUGUCGGUGCCGUAGGGAAGCCGUGAAGCGAGCCACCUGGGAAGUACGGCCGCAAGGCUGAAACUUAAAGGAAUUGGCGGGGGAGCACCACAACGGGUGGAGCUUGCGGUUUAAUUGGAUUCAACGCCGGGAAGGGC